rnacentral:rRNA from 1 species
UACGUAGGGGGCAAGCGUUGUCCGGAAUCAUUGGGCGUAAAGAGCGCGUAGGCGGCCCAGUAAGUCCGCUCUGAAAGUCAGGGGCUCAACCCCUGGAUGCGGGUGGAUACUGCAGGGCUAGAGUCCGGAAGAGGCGAGUGGAAUUCCUGGUGUAGCGGUGAAAUGCGCAGAUAUCAGGAGGAACACCGGAUGGCGAAGGCAGCUCGCUGGGACGGUACUGACGCUGAGGCGCGAAAGCGUGGGGAGCAAACGGG